UUUUUGUUUAAGAGACUUUAUACUCUUCUGCAAAUGAUUUAACAAGGGCUAGAUCAAAGCACAUUAUGAGCAUAUACCAACCAAGCUGGCAUUUUAUUUGAUAUGCAGAUUGGGUGAUGCAUCAGAAACAAU
rnacentral:snoRNA from 1 species